rnacentral:rRNA from 1 species
GACGAACGCUGGCGGCGUGCUUAACACAUGCAAGUCGAACGAUGAACCCGGAGCUUGCUCUGGGGGAUUAGUGGCGAACGGGUGAGUAACACGUGAGUAACCUGCCCUGGACUCUGGGAUAAGCGUUGGAAACGACGUCUAAUACCGGAUAGGACCUUGGAUCGCAUGAUCUGGGGUGGAAAGUUUUUUCGGUCUGGGAUGGACUCGCGGCCUAUCAGCUUGUUGGUGAGGUAAUGGCUCACCAAGGCGUCGACGGGUAGCCGGCCUGAGAGGGUGACCGGCCACACUGGGACUGAGGCACGGCCCAGAAUCCUACGGGAGGCAGCAGUGGGGAAUAUUGCACAAUGGGCGAAAGCCUGAUGCAGCAACGCCGCGUGCGGGAUGACGGCCUUCGGGUUGUAAACCGCUUUUAGUAGGGAAGAAGGGCUUCGGCUUGACGGUACCUGCAGAAAAAGGACCGGCUAACUACGUG